UAACCUGCCCCGGAGCGGGGGAUAACAUUUGGAAACAGAUGCUAAUACCGCAUAACAAUAAAAGCCGCAUGGCUUUUAUUUGAAAGAUGGCUUUGGCUAUCACUCUGGGAUGGACCUGCGGUGCAUUAGCUAGUUGGUAAGGUAACGGCUUACCAAGGCGAUGAUGCAUAGCCGAGUUGAGAGACUGAUCGGCCACAAUGGAACUGAGACGCGGUCCAUACUCCUACGGGAGGCAGCAG
rnacentral:rRNA from 1 species